UACAGAGGGGGCAAGCGUUAUUCGGAAUUAUUGGGCGUAAAGAGCUCGUAGGCGGUUUGUCGCGUCUGCCGUGAAAGUCCGGGGCUCAACUCCGGAUCUGCGGUGGGUACGGGCAGACUAGAGUGAUGUAGGGGAGACUGGAAUUCCUGGUGUAGCGGUGAAAUGCGCAGAUAUCAGGAGGAACACCGAUGGCGAAGGCAGUUCUCUGGGCCGUAACUGACGCUGAGGAGCGAAAGCGUGGGGAGCGAACAGG
rnacentral:rRNA from 1 species